rnacentral:rRNA from 1 species
UAAGGAAUAUUGGUCAAUGGACGCAAGUCUGAACCAGCCAUGCCGCGUGAAGGAUGAAGGUCCUCUGGAUUGUAAACUUCUUUUAUCCGGGACGAAAACGGGAUUUUUAUCUCAAUUGACGGUACCAGAGGAAUAAGCACCGGCUAACUCCGUGCCAGCAGCCGCGGUAAUACGGAGGGUGCGAGCGUUAUCCGGAUUUACUGGGUUUAAAGGGUGCGUAGGUGGGCUUAUAAGUCAGUGGUGAAAUCUCCGAGCUUAACUUGGAAACUGCCGUUGAUACUAUAGGUCUUGAAUUAUCUGGAGGUAAGCGGAAUAUGUCAUGUAGCGGUGAAAUGCUUAGAUAUGACAUAGAACACCGAUUGCGAAGGCAGCUUACUACAUAUAAAUUGACGCUGAGGCACGAAAGCGUGGGGAUCAAACA